rnacentral:lncRNA from 1 species
GGGGUGCACAGGGAGUGGCACCACAAAGGGAAUUGCCCCUCAGGAGCAGAGGGUUAUGUCAGAGGGGAGGCGCGAACCAGGUCUCAUAGCACUUUCUAGGACGUAAUGAGUAUGGAUUCUAUGUUGCCAUGGGAAGCCAGCAUCCUUGCACGAGGUGGUUAAGUGCUGAGAGAAGAUAAAUCAGCUUGCUUGUUUUUCGAGGGAACUGGCUGAAAACCCAGUAGAUUUUGGUGGCUGUUCUUGACUAAGAAGAGUGUGGAACAAAGUCACAGAGCCACGGCCCCAGACAAGACCUGGAUGAAGCGCUACAGCCUGGUAGUGCCAAGACUGGGAGGGAAACAGAAGAGCACUAUGAGACAGAAUCCAGAAGCAAGGAGAGGAAGGAAAGGCCUUGGACCCCAAUGCACAUUUUUCCCCCAGGAUUGCAAAUAA